GGGAUACCCGCUGAACUUAAGCAUAUCA
rnacentral:rRNA from 2 species